UAUGGCACUUAUUUUUCCUACUGUAUCAUAUUUGUAGCCUGAUUUUUUUCAUAAAUCUGUUGUUUACGAACGAUGAUCCAUUUUUAAAAGAAAUACAAUACUUCGGACCAUUUUAUUUGUCAGUAUGGUGUUCAUUACUACAGAUUGUUUAUUUAGUGUUAUCUCUAGCGUCAAAUAAUGCAAAUCAUCUCCCGAGAAAAAUGCGAAAGAUCAAACAUAAGUUAGAAUCGCUGAAAGGGUACAUCUUCAUCACUUUUGUAUUACCCUUGACCACAUACGUUACCGCGGCUUUUUGGACAAUUUUUUUUCUCAAUAAGGAUUUCGUGCCGUCUGCUACGUUUGCUCUUAUGCCGUCAUGGAUUAAUCAUGGGUAUCAUACAAACGGAAUGAUUCUCGUAUUGAUGGAUCUUCUUUUUGAAAAUAACUCUAUUCCACCUGUUAAAUCUGCUCUUUUUGGAAUUACUCUACUUGCUAUCGUCUACUAUUCAAUUUUUUUUGGAAUAUACAUUCUUUUCGGAAAAUGGCUCUAUAUUUUCUUUUAUGAAAUGACUUGACUGCAAAUUGUUACUGCUUUUAUUAUAACUUAUUUGCUUCACGUAGGACUUGUUACAACAGGAGUUAAAGUACAUCAGUCACUAAGAUCACGAGUCAAAAAGGUAUAAUAUUUUGGUUAUUAUUUUGUAUUUUUUAUUAUGUUCAUAUGUAUUUGAUUUAAUAUAUUGACUUAUUG
rnacentral:misc_RNA from 1 species